rnacentral:rRNA from 1 species
UACGAAGGGGGCUAGCGUUGCUCGGAAUCACUGGGCGUAAAGGGCGCGUAGGUGGCCUUCUAAGUUGAACGUGAAAUCCCCUGGGCUCAACCCAGGAACUGCGUCCAAGACUGGGAGGCUUGAAUCCGGGGAGAGGGAUGCGGAAUUCCAGGUGUAGCGGUGAAAUGCGUAGAUAUCUGGAGGAACACCGGUGGCGAAGGCGGCAUCCUGGACCGGUAUUGACACUGAGGCGCGAAAGCCAGGGGAGCAAACAGG